GCUUCAGAGCCUUUCACCUGCUGCUCCACACGACCCACUUGUGCCUGAACCGCUGCAGGUUAACCAACCAACCAACCAACCAACCAACCAACCAACCAACCAACCAACAACCACUCAUUCACUCAUCAGUGAAGCAAAAAUAAGGAGUGCUAUGGGGAACCUGGCUGAGAGUCUGACGGAGGUCAAGCGGGUGGAACGACACUUGGCUCCAGGUGUAGCAGAUGUGAAAUGGUCGACUGCGUUGUGACGACAGACACGGACUGGCUGGAAACUGGGUUUAUUUCUAUAAGACAAAGUGUAGCAGCGAAAUCAGUGUCACACAGCGGCAGCAGGCUUCUCCUCACCCCAGUGUGGAGUCCGUACAGCUCUGCUUACAUCAUAUAAAAGAAAAUACAACUUAUCAAAAUAACAAUUUUCACAACCGCCACUUCAAAAUCAAAUAUUACAGUGGGGUAAAACAGAGAUAAUUAUGAAAUCACUAACAAUAGCUUAUAACAUUCAAAUUCCCAUUGAAAUAGGUCAAUUACAUAAUACAUAUUCAAACAACUUUUUAACUCUUCCCAACAUGGCUGGAGAUACUAUUCAGAGCGCAGCCUCGGGACAUGAGCUCAUUACACACAUAAAACGAAAACUACAUAUUUACACAUACCUAUAAGACAAAGUGUAGCAGCGAAAUCAGUGUCACACAGCGGCAGCAGGCUUCUCCUCACCCUGUUUAACACAAGUCAGUUCCACAUAAACGGAUGAUAUAACAGAUAAAGCGCAGUUCCAAAUAUCAUUUUUCUCACUCAAAGCGAUUGAAAACACUUUGAGAGCUUUUGACCAUAGGAGCCAAUACUUAACAAAGACAAAUACACCAAAUUUAGAUGGAUAAUUUAGUACAGGGAGAAGAGCUACAGAAAGCGUGCCUCACCAGUGUGGAGUCCGUACAGCUCUGGCUAGGAAACCCCACACCUGCAACGUGGCCGCAGGUGGCGUUACACUGAUUAAUGUCCCACUUCAACAAUGACACACGGAACCUUAGUUCCACAAAAAUUAAGUUCACACAAUAAAAAAACAUAACCGAUGUACAAUACAGUUUUGAGAAUGUUCACAAUUCGUACAUUAUAUCUCAGCUACAUAGGCA
ensembl:lncRNA